rnacentral:piRNA from 1 species
UCCUGAUCCACAGCCCCAGAGGUUGCA